rnacentral:rRNA from 1 species
UGGGGAAUAUUGGACAAUGGGCGAAAGCCUGAUCCAGCCAUGCCGCGUGUGUGAAGAAGGUCUUAUGGUUGUAAAGCACUUUAAGCGAGGAGGAGGGUACUGGUAUUAAUACUACCAGCUACUGGACGUUACUCGCAGAAUAAGCACCGGCUAACUCUGUGCCAGCAGCCGCGGUAAUACAGAGGGUGCGAGCGUUAAUCGGAUUUACUGGGCGUAAAGCGUGCGUAGGCGGCUAAUUGAGUCGGAUGUGAAAUCCCCGAGCUUAACUUGGGAAUUGCAUUCGAUACUGGUUAGCUAGAGUGUGGGAGAGGAUGGUAGAAUUCCAGGUGUAGCGGUGAAAUGCGUAGAGAUCUGGAGGAAUACCGAUGGCGAAGGCAGCCAUCUGGCCUAACACUGACGCUGAGGUACGAAAGCAUGGGGAGCAAACAGG